AUAUGUUGAACUGAAAUUUCUUGUAUUCUUAUCAUAUCAUGUAUCAUUUUGAAUGAGGUCAGUUGUAUUAGAUAACUAUUAUUUUUUCUUUAGAUUUGCAAAUUUUAGAACGCAGCAUGACAGUAGACCAGGUCAGACUGCAGCAGCAGUUGCAUACAGAAGGAGGACCAACCCAGUCUACUCUUUAAAGUUGCAUGUUUGGACGGCCCUGAAUUCACCAGUAUAAAUCCCAUGAUGAUUAGACACUUGAGAUCCAGGAAGAUUGUAAUAUCACGGAGUGACUCUGUAAUAAACUUUAAGAAGAGAGUCAUAGAACUCUUUCCAAAAUUAGAAAGGGUUGAUUUUGAGUUCUUCCAGCAAAGUUGAGGGAGAAACACAGACUUGAACAAGUAGUGUUUAAUUCCUUAAAGGAUCUUAAGGCCAAUGUGAAAUUCACCCUCUAUAUUAAACCUGCACCACAGCUAAUCAAUAUUUCUGAAGGUGAAUCGGAUGGAGAAGAGCUUCCACCAUUGUUCCCUCCCAGAAGAAAAAGACAAUCUGAUGAUGCUAAUUUGACAGUACAAGUGAUACACUUCAGAUGAAAGCAUUCAACAUCUGACACACCAGAUUCGUCAAGAAGUCGUCAAGAGAAAUAGUACACUGUCUCAACCAGGUACCAGUGGAGCAAGUGUAGCCCUGGAAGGCUCCAACACACCAUCAUCAAGAAGAGGCAGUCAUAUCAUCUCCUGUUGCAAGAAGAUCUAAUGCCACACCAUGCAGAACUUGUUUAUCAUCUAACUCUGGUAGGCAAAGAAGAAGAACUGCUAUAGCUGCUGAUGAUUUUAUUCAUGCAGUGGUAGCUCCUGAAGCUUCCAAUUCACCAUCAACAAGAAGAAACAGAGCCCUAUCAUCUCCCAGGGUGGUUGCAAGUAGAUCGAAUGUGAAAAAAAAAACUUCAUGUCAAAUUUGGCUAGCUAAAAUACUACUUUUGUUUAAAGAUACUUUACCAAGUAUUAUUAAAUAUACAAUAGAAACAUCCACAAAUGAAAAUUUUAAAAUUUAAACUGUAAAAUAUUAUAGUCAUAUAAAUCAUUUACGUGAAAUUUUAAUGUAACAGUUAUGGAAAUCAUUGAAUCAUUGAAGUCCUGUAUGCACAUUUUUCAUAUUUAUUACAAAUUAUAACAUAUCAACAAAUAAUACUUCAUUCAGUGACUGUUGAUCGCAAGCUUAAAAAGUUUCUAGUUUGUUGGCAAAAUUAACAUGAUCAUGAUAUUUAUAAACAACCAAUGUAGAGCACGUGGGGCAUGUGACGUAUAAAUGAAUUUAAUUUUUUCUUUAUAUAUUUUCCAUCCAUUUUCAUUUUUUUCAUAAAAGUUUUCCUUAACAGUUGUUAAAUGACGUGUUGUAUUAAAUUUAUUCUUUAAGAAAAAGAUAUGACUAUUUUCCUGCAUUUUUGUUUACAUUCUUUCACCGUUUUCCCUUCUCACUUGCCCUGUGUCAUGAUAAUUUUAUAGAGAAACUUUAAAAUAUAUACAAAACUUCUAUAUUUUUUGCUUUGCUCUUUUUCAGGUAAGUGAAACUACAACUCAAGCCUAUCAUACUGCUGGUACUCCAACAGUCCUAUUCCGAUCAACUGCAGUUCCAACAUCCACAGAACAAAUGGCAACUGGACAAUAUGAACAACUGUCUACACCAGUCAACC